GACGAACGCUGGCGGCGUGCUUAACACAUGCAAGUCGAACGGAAAGGCCCUGCUUUUGUGGGGUGCUCGAGUGGCGAACGGGUGAGUAACACGUGAGUAACCUGCCCUUGACUUUGGGAUAACUUCAGGAAACUGGGGCUAAUACCGGAUAGGAGCUCCUGCUGCAUGGUGGGGGUUGGAAAGUUUCGGCGGUUGGGGAUGGACUCGCGGCUUAUCAGCUUGUUGGUGGGGUAGUGGCUUACCAAGGCUUUGACGGGUAGCCGGCCUGAGAGGGUGACCGGCCACAUUGGGACUGAGAUACGGCCCAGACUCCUACGGGAGGCAGCAGUGGGGAAUAUUGCACAAUGGGCGGAAGCCUGAUGCAGCAACGCCGCGUGCGGGAUGACGGCCUUCGGGUUGUAAACCGCUUUCGCCUGUGACGAAGCGUGAGUGACGGUAAUGGGUAAAGAAGCACCGGCUAACUACGUGCCAGCAGCCGCGGUGAUACGUAGGGUGCGAGCGUUGUCCGGACUUAUUGGGCGUGAAGGGCUCGUAGGUGGUUGAUCGCGUCGGAAGUGUAAUCUUGGGGCUUAACCCUGAGCGUGCUUUCGAUACGGGUUGACUUGAGGAAGGUAGGGGAGAAUGGAAUUCCUGGUGGAGCGGUGGAAUGCGCAGAUAUCAGGAGGAACACCAGUGGCGAAGGCGGUUCUCUGGGCCUUUCCUGACGCUGAGGAGCGAAAGCGUGGGGAGCGAACAGGCUUAGAUACCCUGGUAGUCCACGCUGUAAACGGUGGGUACUAGGUGUGGGGUCCAUUCCACGGGUUCCGUGCCGUAGCUAACGCUUUAAGUACCCCGCCUGGGGAGUACGGCCGCAAGGCUAAAACUCAAAGGAAUUGACGGGGCCCCGCACAAGCGGCGGAGCAUGCGGAUUAAUUCGAUGCAACGCGUAGAACCUUACCUGGGUUUGACAUGGAUCGGGAGUGCUCAGAGAUGGGUGUGCCUCUUUUGGGGUCGGUUCACAGGUGGUGCAUGGCUGUCGUCAGCUCGUGUCGUGAGAUGUUGGGUUAAGUCCCGCAACGAGCGCAACCCUUGUUCACUGUUGCCAGCACGUUAUGGUGGGGACUCAGUGGAGACCGCCGGGGUCAACUCGGAGGAAGGUGGGGAUGACGUCAAGUCAUCAUGCCCCUUAUGUCCAGGGCUUCACGCAUGCUACAAUGGCUGGUACAGAGAGUGGCGAGCCUGUGAGGGUGAGCGAAUCUCGGAAAGCCGGUCUCAGUUCGGAUUGGGGUCUGCAACUCGACCUCAUGAAGUCGGAGUCGCUAGUAAUCGCAGAUCAGCAACGCUGCGGUGAAUACGUUCCCGGG
rnacentral:rRNA from 1 species